ensembl:snoRNA
AAUUGGAGUGAUGAGAACUUCACCUUAGGUGGGUACUAUGAACCGUUUUGGUUGCAAUUACAGCACCUGCCAGUGCUAGGAUCUGUCAUAGUUACACUGACCAUAU